AGAGUUUGAUCAUGGCUCAGGAUGAACGCUGGCGGCGUGCUUAACACAUGCAAGUCGAACGAUGAUCCGGUGCUUGCACCGGGGAUUAGUGGCGAACGGGUGAGUAACACGUGAGUAACCUGCCCUUAACUCUGGGAUAAGCCUGGGAAACUGGGUCUAAUACCGGAUAUGACUCCUCAUCGCAUGGUGGGGGGUGGAAAGCUUUAUUGUGGUUUUGGAUGGACUCGCGGCCUAUCAGCUUGUUGGUGAGGUAAUGGCUCACCAAGGCGACGACGGGUAGCCGGCCUGAGAGGGUGACCGGCCACACUGGGACUGAGACACGGCCCAGGCUCCUACGGGAGGCAGCAGUGGGGAAUAUUGCACAAUGGGCGCAAGCCUGAUGCAGCGACGCCGCGUGAGGGAUGACGGCCUUCGGGUUGUAAACCUCUUUCAGUAGGGAAGAAGCGAAAGUGACGGUACCUGCAGAAGAAGCGCCGGCUAACUACGUGCCAGCAGCCGCGGUA
rnacentral:rRNA from 1 species